AUUCCAGCUCCAAUAGCGUAUAUUAAAGUUGUUGCAGUUAAAAAGCUCGUAGUUGGAUUUCUUGUGCAUGAAGCGGGUCGGCUCAAAGAGUCUGUACUAGCUUUCAUGCACAAUCCUCGUAACAAGCUGUCGGUGAGUUAACUCCAUUCGGCAGUGAGUUGCGUCACUUACUGUGAACAAAUUAGAGUGUUUAAAGCAGGCAAAUGCUGUGAAUACAUUAGCAUGGAAUAAUAAGAUAGGACCUAGAGUCUAUUUUGUUGGUUGCGAUUUUAGGUAAUGAUUAAUAGGGAUAGUUGGGGGCAUUAGUACUUUGCUGUCAGAGGUGAAAUUCUCGGAUUUGCAGAAGACUAACUUAUGCGAAAGCAUUUGCCAAGGAUGUUUUCAUUG
rnacentral:rRNA from 1 species